rnacentral:rRNA from 1 species
GAUUAACGCUGGCGGCGUGCCUAACACAUGCAAGUCGAGCGGCAGCGAGUUUUACACUGAAUUCUGGAAGCUUCUAGUUGAAAGAGAAGAUUUAUUCAAGAAUUUUGUGUAAAAUGUCGGCGAGCGGCGGACGGCUGAGUAACGCGUGGGAACGUACCCCAAAGUGAGGGAUAACGCAUCGAAAGGUGUGCUAAUACCGCAUAUGGUCUUCGGAUUAAAGCCUUCGGGCGCUUUGGGAACGGCCUGCGUAAGAUUAGAUAGUUGGUGGGGUAAUGGCCUACCAAGUCGACGAUCUUUAACUGGUUUGAGAGGAUGAUCAGUCAGACUGGAACUGAGACACGGUCCAGACUCCUACGGGAGGCAGCAGUGAGGAAUCUUCCACAAUGGGCGAAAGCCUGAUGGAGCAACGCCGCGUGCAGGAUGAAGGCCUUCGGGUUGUAAACUGCUUUUAUAAGUGAGGAUUAUGACAGUAACUUAUGAAUAAGGAUCGGCUAACUACGUGCCAGCAGCCGCGGCCAUACGUAGGAUCCGAGCGUUAUCCGGAGUGACUGGGCGUAAAGAGUUGCGUAGGUGGUUUAAUAAGCGAAUAGUGAAAUCUGGUGGCUCAACCAUUCAGACUAUUAUUCGAACUGUUAAACUCGAGAGCAGAAGAGGUAGCUGGAAUUUCUAGUGUAGGAGUGAAAUCCGUAGAUAUUAGAAGGAACACCGAUGGCGUAGGCAGGCUACUGGGCUGUUUCUGACACUGAGGCACGAAAGCGUGGGGAGCGAACCGGAUUAGAUACCCGGGUAGUCCACGCCGUAAACGAUGGAUACUAGCUGUUUGGGGUAUCGACCCCCUGAGUAGCGAAGCUAACGCGUUAAGUAUCCCGCCUGUGGAGUACGAUCGCAAGAUUAAAACAUAAAGGAAUUGACGGGGACCCGCACAAGCGGUGGAUCAUGUUCUUUAAUUCGAUGAUAACCGAUAAACCUUACCAGGUCUUGACAUCCUUGGAAUCUUUCAGAAAUGAGAGAGUGCUUUUUAAGAGCCAAGUGACAGGUGAUGCAUGGCCGUCGUCAGCUCGUGUCGUGAGAUGUUUGGUUAAGUCCAUCAACGAGCGCAACCCUUGUCAGUAGUUGUAUUUUUCUACUGAGACUGCCCCGGUAACGGGGAGGAAGGAGGGGAUGACGUCAGGUCAGUAUUUCCCUUACGUCCUGGGCUAGAAACGUGAUACAAUGGCUAGUACAAUGCGCAGCGAAGCCGCGAGGUGAAGCAAAUCGCAUCAAAGCUAGUCCCAGUUCGGGUUGUAGGCUGAAACUCGCCUGCAUGAAGUCGGAAUCGCUAGUAAUCGCAGAUCAGCAUGCUGCGGUGAAUACGUUCCCGGGUCU